AGAAAAAUAAAUUCUUUAAAAAAAGAAAUGUAUUACAUGAACAUGAUGUGUUUCAUGAAGAUGGCAUUCCCCUGACCCCAGUGUUCUUUGAGUUGAUCCAACUCCAGGGGAGAUUUUUCGGGGGGUGGGGGAAGGAGUUGUUUUCAAAAUAAUUUUCAUGAUCUCUUUGUGGCAAAUGCAGUGAUUUCUGGUGUUGUGGAGCUCUGAUACUGGCCAAGCUCUGCCCGGGGCCCUGGGAGGUUUUCCUUUUCUUGUUUACCAGAGUGAUUUAGGUGAUUCUGUGCCAAGAGAUUCCAUGAUCUCUCACUAGAGACCCGAUUCCUUGGACUCACCAUCAAUUCACGUCCAGGGCAGGGCUCCUGUGACCAAUCUAAGAGUCCCCCAAAGAGACCCCCAGAGCUGCUGCUGUCUGUGCCCUGUGGCCUACACUCUGGCUUCUUCCAUCCCUUGAGGGACCAGUCCCUCUACUGCUGAAUGACUGACGGUGAGUGGAAUGCGGGUUAUUUCUUUUAAUAGUUGUUAUUUCUAGUGAAGGACUAGCUUCAUCAGAAUGCCUGAGCACAGACCUAUGGUGUCUGGGAAGCUGGGCUGGUUUGUGAAACAAGGAGGUUCAUGGGGUGGGAGGGUGGGGGUGGAUCUGAGUAACCUCAGGGUUCCUUCUUGGGGCCUCUAAGGGACUGUGUGACUCAGUACUUUCAUGUCAUGUUGGAGUGGAAGGAAACUCUGAGAUCCCAAGAGAAUUCCUAGGCAGGGAGGACAAGGCACAGAGGGAGCUCAGGACCCCGAGCCUUGCCGUUCCCUGGGGCCUCUAAAUAAGCUCUCCACCUAUUUUAUCUAUUUUUCCAGGGUAUUUAUCAUUUGCACCUCAGCUGUGUGCCUGAGGUUGUUCCUGGCAUAGAGGAAAAGUCUUCUCUUCACAAAGCCCCCUUCCAGAGGGCAUCCAGACAGCGUGGAAGAGAGAGGGACAAGAAGUGACGUCAGCUGUGGGAAUCCACCCAACCUAAACACAAGGAAGAAGGUGAAUAGGAUCUGGCAAGCAGACCACAGCUCAAGAGGCAGCCGAUGUAGGAUCCGGGGCAAAGCUUCCAGCCCUCAGGGUACUGAGACACCCUCUGCUUUGCAUCUGCUUAUGCCUUUUCCCAGCCUACUUCAACUGCAAUAGCAGCAGCAGCUGCAGGAAGACUCAGCUAAAACCAAGGUGACUAAGACUGAAUACUUGAGCACUGAGCUGUGAGCACAAGGGUCUCCACAGCACAAAAGAUAGAAAAGAUAAAAGCCAGGAAAUGAUGGAAAAGGUUUUCGUUUUGUUUUGUUAAAAGGACACACACUUAGAAUUUAAUUUGUUCCCUGGGUUUGAACAUAUGCUACUAAAGAGAGAACCAAAAUGAAAAUAUUGUGUUUCUUUUCUGAGAUAGGGUCUCAUGUUAGCUAGAGUGGCCCCAAACUCCUUAAGUAGCCAAGGCUGACUUUGAACUCUUGAUCUUCCAUCCUCUUUAUCUCCCAGAGCUGGGAUUACAGGAAUGACCACCACUGCUGUAUUAUAAUUUCAAGUCUGGCAAUACAGAGAGGAGGAAUCUCAUGAGAUAUGUGGCAUGGCAUCAACCCCGGGCCAAGAGGGGUAAGCCCAGGAAGUGACUAUGUGUUUAGUGUCACGGCCCUGAACGCCCCCAGAUGCUGUAACUCUGAAUAAGUCUGCAGUGCAAGUUCUAAGUGAGGGUUUAACUCUAGUGACCUGAAUCAUCUGAUGAUGUUUG
rnacentral:lncRNA from 1 species